rnacentral:rRNA from 1 species
UACGGGGGGGGCAAGCGUUGUUCGGAAUUACUGGGCGUAAAGGGUUCGUAGGUGGCCAACUCAGUCAGACGUGAAAUCCCUCAGCUCAACUGGGGAACUGCGUCUGAUACUAGAUGGCUCGAGUGCAGGAGAGGAACGCGGAAUUCCAGGUGUAGCGGUGAAAUGCGUAGAUAUCUGGAGGAACACCUAUUGCGAAGGCAGCUCGCUGGGACGUAACUGACGCUCAGGCACGAAAGCGUGGGGAGCAAACAGG